rnacentral:rRNA from 1 species
AACGAACGCUGGCGGCAUGCCUAACACAUGCAAGUCGAACGAGACCUUCGGGUCUAGUGGCGCACGGGUGCGUAACGCGUGGGAACCUGCCCUUAGGUUCGGAAUAACUCCCCGAAAGGGGUGCUAAUACCGGAUAAUGUCUUCGGACCAAAGAUUUAUCGCCUUUGGAUGGGCCCGCGUUGGAUUAGCUAGUUGGCAGGGUAAAAGCCUACCAAGGCGACGAUCCAUAGCUGGUCUGAGAGGAUGAUCAGCCACACUGGGACUGAGACACGGCCCAGACUCCUACGGGAGGCAGCAGUGGGGAAUAUUGGACAAUGGGCGAAAGCCUGAUCCAGCAAUGCCGCGUGAGUGAUGAAGGCCUUAGGGUUGUAAAGCUCUUUUACCCGGGAUGAUAAUGACGGUACCGGGAGAAUAAGCUCCGGCUAACUCCGUG